UACGGAGGGGGCAAGCGUUGUCCGGACUUACUGGGCGUAAAGGGUGCGUAGGCGGUUUGUUAAGUCAGGGGUGAAAGUUUUCGGCCCAACCGGAAAAUGGCCUUUGAUACUGGCGAACUCGAGUGCGUGAGGGGUAACCGGAACGAGUGGUGUAGCGGUGAAAUGCGUAGAUAUCACUCGGAAGGCCAAAGGCGAAGGCAGGUUAUUGGUACGCAACUGACGCUGAGGCACGAAAGCGUGGGGAGCAAACAGG
rnacentral:rRNA from 1 species